UUAUUUGGUAGCAAAGGGUGACUUGCCUAGCUGGUAACAAGCUGGGAAGUCGGCUACAUCCUAAUCCAGUACUUUUCCCAUAACAGCUUCUCAGAUAUGUUACAACAGCUCUCAUGUCUCUCAUCAUUUUCUCCAUGUCUUUCUGGGCU
rnacentral:miRNA from 1 species